AAGCGUUCCAACCAGGACAUGUGUGUGUUCACCUGUAUAGUUAUGUAAUAAUCCAGUAAUGCUAUCAACCAAUUUAAGCAGGUCAAAGGUGAAACACGCUCGCAACUGUUGUGAAUAAACGACUGAAGAAAAGACUUGUGCUCUCUUCUUUCAGACACUGUAAGGUUAAAAAAUCUCUUUGUGUGCAGAAAUUGGGAUGGAGGUUUACACCAGAGCUCAGAGAUCACAUAUGAACAGCCAGCAUCAAGAAAUCCAAUCCUCUUAAAAAAGAAAUCUACCGCCACUGCAGGCAAGCUGACAGGGGAAUGAACGAGGAGCAGAAGGAGAUAUGUGAGGGCAGUGAGGGUGGGAUGUAAAGAGGUUUUUGUUGCUGUCUCACUCUCUGCUGGAUGAUGGCGUGUUUGUGCUCCAGCUCCCUCUUCUCCACGGCCGAGUCGAUCACCAGCUGAUCCAGCUGCACCGAGAGAAGAAGACAACAGAUUCAGUUCAGUUGUGAUAUUAGGCAAAAUACCUUUGUUUCCUUUCCUUUGUUAUCUGUUUUUUUGCACCGAUACACCAAGACAAAUUCUUUGUGUGUGUAAAUGUACUUGGAAAUAAAACCCGAUUCUGAUUCUGAUUCUGAAUACACAAGACUUACUUUUAUAAUAAAUGCAAACCUUUGACAAGGCAAAA